ensembl:lncRNA
CCCAGCUCGUGGUGAGACGCAGUGGUGCUUUUACCAUUAGCACACAGAUGGUAAGCUGAAGCAAAGAGGGAUUUGGAGACCAAAUCACCGCCUGCCCUCAGUACAUCCCAAAAGCUGAGCGUCUCUCCCAGCAUCUCUGCUUCCCACAGAGAGAUCCUCUGCCACAGGAGAACCAGGACUGAACGUACAGCUCUUCCAGCAUCAGCGUUCCCUCAAGAACCUACUCCGCAUACCUUCGUGCUGAGGAAAUUCCACAUCUGAGACCUGCGCCACGCCGCCCUGCUCUACCGGCCCAGGUCUCCUUCAGCAAAACAAACGUUAGCAGCAUUUAAGCCAUUACUCCGAUGCUGCCUUACAAGAGGCAGAGCGCAAGCGAGGAAUGGAAAAAGCCCUCACUGCUCACAGCGUUGCCCGAGAGGUUUUGACAGUAACGUCCACAGCACGAUGAGAAAUACUGUGGGAUUGGCACGUUUCCUUCCUGAAGGUUUUGCAAAACGCACUUCUUCUGCUGUGAAAAUCAAAGCCAGACUCAGCAUCAAACGAUUAAAGGUUAACUAAGACUUCAAACGAGCGCCGUGCAAUGGGUCAUUCUCCUACGGAUUAUGGAACACAAAGUAGCCCUCGGUAUUAAUAUCUGCAUUUAAUUACGGCCGUGUCUGAGGGUGAUGAGCAGAAAAACACAGGCUUUGUUACAGAUGUGCAUUUCGCUGUGGAAAUUCUUUGGAAAGAAAAACAUUGCUGCACCUGUUAGGCACCAAACGCCAACGAUUUCUCAGCACUAUGGGGCAAGUGGCCCACGUUUGGGGUGAAACGAAGCUGGAGUUGUUUUAAAAUAAGCACAAGAGUCUGCUAAAAUACAGUGCUUUUUUAUUCGAUGGGAAACAAGGUCCGCUGGCUCGGGAUGUGAGGAUGCAAACACAAACCAGGCUGGAAGAAAGCUCGGUGAAGUGUGCUGCGCUGCAGUUGGGUUUCUCCCAUAGCUCCUCCAGAAAGUUGGCCACUAGAAAAUGAGCGGCUGAUGCAGCACAGGGGAAAGCAACAUUCCUCCCCCUGGAAACCACCAUCUGCUUCCAGACACAUCCUCUUCACGCGCCUCUUCAUCCCUCACUAGAGCCUAAUCACAGAAGCCUUUUUAAUUAAAAGAGGUGGCUCAAUGCAUCUUUUUCCUAUUGAUCUGGAGUCAACAAGAAACCAUAAACCAAGAAAUUAAAAUAAUAAUUUAUAGCCUCUGGCCUGACUGCCUGUUAGCUCUGUUUGCCAUAUUGUACACAAUGGUUUCCUGCCUCUGCCAGUAUAUAAACUCAAUACAAGAGCUCCAAAAAGGGAGAGGAGAAAAAAAAAGCCAAACCCCCCACACACAACCCUAUAAGGCUUCCUCUAGAAACCAGCUCUGAGGAUGGUUUUCAGCUCACCCUUUGUCUGAUCUGGGGCCAACCCUCAGUUCCAAUCAUAACAGAAAACAGCGAAGAUGAAAGGCCAAACUCCAUUUCUUUCCAACUUGAGCCAGGUGUACAGCUGGCACCAGCAGCCUCCAAUGGAAACAUGUUCCAGUGAAGACAUGUUAAAGCAAUAAAAAGAAAAUGAGUAACAUGUGGCUAAAAACAUCUAUUCGUUUCGCUUAUUUUCUAUAAAUGAAUUUUCCCAGGGCAGCGUUUGGGGGUUUCUUUAAACAGUGCUCAGUUCCAUAGGCGUUACAGGGUUUCCAAGACAGUGUGAUCCCUCUGAGAGGUUUGAAAUGCCAGCAAGUACGUCUCUUAUAAACUAAUAGGCUAUUAUUUACAAUUGUGAGUGGCUCAAAUAGCCGAUUUAAAACCUUCAAAUGACAAAAAUUCCUCUGAGGCAAGAUGCCAAAGUUGAGCAAACAAUUUGUACGGUAUGUUAAGUGUAGGGGGAAGCCAUAGAGCUUGUAAUGAAGUCGUGUCUUGUGUUUCCAAUCAGAGGCAGGCAGGACGAAAUGCAUUAUGGCAAGCUACUGAGUGCAACAACAAACCACGGGGGGUGGGGGAGGAGGAAGGGGGAAGCAAGGUUGGAUUAAAAUAUAAUUUCUGUGGCUUGUUGAACAACAUGACGUAGCUAGUCCUCGGUAUGCAGAGGAUGGGUGCUUGCAAAGAGCACAGAGCCAUCUGCUGCUCGUCAGAUUCCAAAGCAAUUACAGAAUCUGUGUGUUUUGAUUGGUUUUUGUGGGUUUUUUCCCCCAGUUCACUUGCCCAGCCUAUACAGCAAAACCCACAAGCGACAGCAUGAGACAGAGCACUGAAAUGAGGGCAACCCCCCGCUGACAUUUCAGAGCAAGGUUCAAAGAACAGCUGACGUGAUGGGGCUAAAUGGGAAAGCAGAGGAAGAUCUCACAUAGACCAUCACCCCCAUCAGACUACAUGAGGCUGCCCACGAGGGCUGGGGGUUUGGGGUUUGGUUUUGGGGAGUUGUGGUUAGAUUUCCAUUUUGAAAUAAGAACAUCGAUUCCUCUAAGGACAACAGCUGUGCUUCCAGAAGGCAGCUGAUGCCCUGCCCUGGGAGCAAGCUGUGAUGAAGGCACAGUAAGAGAGAAAGGUGCAGGGAGCGAGCACUGAAGGCGCCGUACCAGCUUGCUCCCAGCACACACAUGGAUCCUCUACGGAUCAGCGUGGGAUUGCUAAGAGAUAACAAGGCAGGCUGUGAGGAGCACACCCCGAGGAGACGAAGCUGAGUCACUGCCAGAGCCCAGGGAGAGCCUCACCACCCAGAGAGCAGCACGAACAUAGAGGUAUGCAGGCAGCAAGCACUGAGAACAGCAUAUCUGUAUCGAAGGACAACAAUGGUGUGAGACCACAGUAGUUCCAAAGCAGCCAUAAGCCCGGCCAGAAGCAAUGAGCACCAACAUCCAACCCCCAGGAGCCUGCCAAAGCAACGGGCACAGCAAGCAAGCCAGGAACUGCUCUUGCAAACAGCCUCACGAGCAUUCCCCACAUUGGGGCAUUUCCCACGUGAGGCAUUCAAGAGAAAACUGUGCACAGAGCAGGGUCAGGGACGCUUCCCCAGGGCUUAGAGCUGAGAGAGCAGAGCUCAGGCCUUCAGCCCCAGCUCCUCCCAGUGCUCUGCAGGGGCCGUGGGAGCCCAAAGCCCAGGCUGGGGGAGCAUGUCUGAGCAUGUACAGCUCGGCUGUCAGGGACAUGCCAAACAUCCACGGCCAGGAGCAAUCCCAAAGGUUCCUUGUUGGCCUCAGCAGCUCUACUUCUGCUACGUCAGUGCAUGGCUACCCUCUCUUUUUCCAGGCAAUCCAAUCGUAUCUUAUCCAAGGAUAAGACAAACUACCCUUGAAUUAGGGGAAGACAUUGCAAAUAAUUCUAAGUACAAGCAUUCAGAAGUCCUCCUUCUCCUAAAUUGCUUAUGGAAAUUCCCAUUUCAUGUCUAUGUGUCUCUUUUCAAAGAAUGCAUCUCCCACAUCCUCUCCACCUCUUCAAGCCAUGGAACAUUUCCAU